UCUUCAGUGCUCUCCUCCUCGCUCACAUUCUGUUUCAGCUCGCCAUCCGCGGAUUGAUGGGAAAGAGUUCUUUAGACAAGCCAGGAGCCGUCUGUCUUACCAACAGUUCCGUGCAUUUCUGGCUAACAUCAAGGAACUAAACGCUAGGAAGCAGAG